GACGAACGCUGGCGGCGUGCUUAACACAUGCAAGUCGAACGGAAAGGCUCCACCUUGCUGGAGUACUCGAGUGGCGAACGGGUGAGUAACACGUGGGUAAUCUGCCCUGCACUCUGGGAUAAGUUUGGGAAACUGGGUCUAAUACUGGAUAUGAGCUUUCUCUUCAUGGGGUUUGGUGGAAAGUUUUUCGGUGUAGGAUGAGCCCGCGGCCUAUCAGCUUGUUGGUGGGGUGAUGGCCUACCAAGGCGACGACGGGUAGCCGGCCUGAGAGGGUGAUCGGCCACAUUGGGACUGAGAUACGGCCCAGACUCCUACGGGAGGCAGCAGUGGGGAAUAUUGCACAAUGGGCGGAAGCCUGAUGCAGCGACGCCGCGUGAGGGAUGACGGCCUUCGGGUUGUAAACCGCUUUCGGCAGUGACGAAGCGUAAGUGACGGUAACGGCAGAAGAAGCACCGGCUAACUACGUG
rnacentral:rRNA from 1 species